AUGGUUUUCUGGCAGUGGGAAUACCACAAUCAAGGUUGUGGUUUCCCAGGAGAGAGGCUCUUCCAUUGCACACUUGUUUGGGUUGACCCUUGCGAUUUCCCCUAAUGUGGGAAACUCAACUGCAUAAUUUAUGACAGUUGGGGGCUGUGUUAGUGUAGUUCUCUG